GGAUGGAGCCUGCGGGUCCGUGGAAUGGUGCUGGGCAUGGGGGGAAAAGGAAAGCCUCCCCAGGAGCUGAUGAAAACAGGCUUUCAGGGAGGCAGGGGAGGAGCGAGGAGAGCGGCACAGCACCCAAGAGAGGGAGAGGUGCUGAUCCAAAUGGCGAAACCUACAUGAAAACUCCUCUCCAGGCUGGAGGGCUUCCUGAAGCAGCAGGUCCCAGCAGAGGGGGAGCAGCUUCUCCUGCAGUUGCCAACUGCUCCUUCUCCCAUGGUUGCAAGAAAGCGCAAAGGAGUGGAAGAGGAGGAGCAGAAAGCAGAGCUGUGUCCUGACAACAAACAAGUGAAAGUGGAGCACAAUGGGGAGAAGGCUCAGAGCCCGCAUCAGAGCAGAGGUGCUGUGCCAGCUCCAUCAGCACAGCCUGGGCCUGCCCCAGUGCCGACCGAGCGGUUCUGGACCUCAAAGCGAAGAGAAAGACGACGACAGAAAGAAAGGAGAGCAGA